GGGUUGUGAGGUUAAGCGACUAAGCGUACACGGUGGAUGCCCUGGCAGUCAGAGGCGAUGAAGGACGUGCUAAUCUGCGAAAAGCGUCGGUAAGGUGAUAUGAACCGUUAUAACCGGCGAUGUCCGAAUGGGGAAACCCAGUGUGAUUCGUCACACUAUCGUUAACUGAAUACAUAGGUUAACGAGGCGAACCGGGGGAACUGAAACAUCUAAGUACCCCGAGGAAAAGAAAUCAACCGAGAUUCCCCCAGUAGCGGCGAGCGAACGGGGAGCAGCCCAGAGUCUGAAUCAGCUUGUGUGUUAGUGGAACGGUCUGGAAAGUCCGACGGUACAGGGUGAUAGUCCCGUACACCAAAAUGCACAGGUUGUGAACUCGAAGAGUAGGGCGGGACACGUGGUAUCCUGUCUGAAUAUGGGGGGACCAUCCUCCAAGGCUAAAUACUCCUGACUGACCGAUAGUGAACCAGUACCGUGAGGGAAAGGCGAAAAGAACCCCGGCGAGGGGAGUGAAAAAGAACCUGAAACCGUGUACGUACAAGCAGUGGGAGCACCUUCGGGUGUGACUGCGUACCUUUUGUAUAAUGGGUCAGCGACUUAUAUUCUGUAGCAAGGUUAACCGUAUAGGGGAGCCGCAGGGAAACCGAGUCUUAACUGGGCGUUAAGUUGCAGGGUAUAGACCCGAAACCCGGUGAUCUAGCCAUGGGCAGGUUGAAGGUUGGGUAACACUAACUGGAGGACCGAACCGACUAAUGUUGAAAAAUUAGCGGAUGACUUGUGGCUGGGGGUGAAAGGCCAAUCAAACCGGGAGAUAGCUGGUUCUCCCCGAAAGCUAUUUAGGUAGCGCCUCGUGAACUCAUCUUCGGGGGUAGAGCACUGUUUCGGCUAGGGGGUCAUCCCGACUUACCAACCCGAUGCAAACUACGAAUACCGAAGAAUGUUAUCACGGGAGACACACGGCGGGUGCUAACGUCCGUCGUGAAGAGGGAAACAACCCAGACCGCCAGCUAAGGUCCCAAAGUCAUGGUUAAGUGGGAAACGAUGUGGGAAGGCACAGACAGCCAGGAUGUUGGCUUAGAAGCAGCCAUCAUUUAAAGAAAGCGUAAUAGCUCACUGGUCGAGUCGGCCUGCGCGGAAGAUGUAACGGGGCUAAACCAUGCACCGAAGCUGCGGCAGCGACACUAUGUGUUGUUGGGUAGGGGAGCGUUCUGUAAGCCUGCGAAGGUGUGCUGUGAGGCAUGCUGGAGGUAUCAGAAGUGCGAAUGCUGACAUAAGUAACGAUAAAGCGGGUGAAAAGCCCGCUCGCCGGAAGACCAAGGGUUCCUGUCCAACGUUAAUCGGGGCAGGGUGAGUCGACCCCUAAGGCGAGGCCGAAAGGCGUAGUCGAUGGGAAACAGGUUAAUAUUCCUGUACUUGGUGUUACUGCGAAGGGGGGACGGAGAAGGCUAUGUUAGCCGGGCGACGGUUGUCCCGGUUUAAGCAUGUAGGCUGAUUGUCCAGGCAAAUCCGGAUAAUCAAGGCUGAGGUGUGAUGACGAGGCACUACGGUGCUGAAGUAACAAAUGCCCUGCUUCCAGGAAAAGCCUCUAAGCAUCAGGUAACAUCAAAUCGUACCCCAAACCGACACAGGUGGUCAGGUAGAGAAUACCAAGGCGCUUGAGAGAACUCGGGUGAAGGAACUAGGCAAAAUGGUGCCGUAACUUCGGGAGAAGGCACGCUGGUGUGUAGGUGAAGUCCCUGCGGAUGGAGCUGAGACCAGUCGAAGAUACCAGCUGGCUGCAACUGUUUAUUAAAAACACAGCACUGUGCAAACACGAAAGUGGACGUAUACGGUGUGACGCCUGCCCGGUGCCGGAAGGUUAAUUGAUGGGGUUAUCCGUAAGGAGAAGCUCUUGAUCGAAGCCCCGGUAAACGGCGGCCGUAACUAUAACGGUCCUAAGGUAGCGAAAUUCCUUGUCGGGUAAGUUCCGACCUGCACGAAUGGCGUAAUGAUGGCCAGGCUGUCUCCACCCGAGACUCAGUGAAAUUGAACUCGCUGUGAAGAUGCAGUGUACCCGCGGCAAGACGGAAAGACCCCGUGAACCUUUACUAUAGCUUGACACUGAACAUUGAGCCUUGAUGUGUAGGAUAGGUGGGAGGCUUUGAAGCGUGGACGCCAGUCUGCGUGGAGCCAACCUUGAAAUACCACCCUUUAAUGUUUGAUGUUCUAACGUUGGCCCCUUAUCGGGGUUGCGGACAGUGUCUGGUGGGUAGUUUGACUGGGGCGGUCUCCUCCCAAAGCGUAACGGAGGAGCACGAAGGUUAGCUAAUCCUGGUCGGACAUCAGGAGGUUAGUGCAAUGGCAUAAGCUAGCUUGACUGCGAGCGUGACGGCGCGAGCAGGUGCGAAAGCAGGUCAUAGUGAUCCGGUGGUUCUGAAUGGAAGGGCCAUCGCUCAACGGAUAAAAGGUACUCCGGGGAUAACAGGCUGAUACCGCCCAAGAGUUCAUAUCGACGGCGGUGUUUGGCACCUCGAUGUCGGCUCAUCACAUCCUGGGGCUGAAGUAGGUCCCAAGGGUAUGGCUGUUCGCCAUUUAAAGUGGUACGCGAGCUGGGUUUAGAACGUCGUGAGACAGUUCGGUCCCUAUCUGCCGUGGGCGCUGGAGAAUUGAGGGGGGCUGCUCCUAGUACGAGAGGACCGGAGUGGACGCAUCACUGGUGUUCGGGUUGUCAUGCCAAUGGCACUGCCCGGUAGCUAAAUGCGGAAGAGAUAAGUGCUGAAAGCAUCUAAGCACGAAACUUGCCCCGAGAUGAGUUCUCCCUGAGACUUUAAGUCUCCUGAAGGAACGUUGAAGACGACGACGUUGAUAGGCCGGGUGUGUAAGCGCAGCGAUGCGUUGAGCUAACCGGUACUAAUGAACCGUGAGGCUUAACCUUACAACGCCGAAG
rnacentral:rRNA from 1 species